GGAGAGGUCGCGUAGUUGGCCUAGCGCGCACGCCUGGAGAGCGUGUUUCCCGCAAGGGAACGUGGGUUCAAAUCCCACCCUCUCCG
rnacentral:tRNA from 1 species